AGUCCAUCUUUUCCUGAUUUGAUUUAGAUAAUCCUGAGGUUAUGGCUGAUUUGUCCAUUUAUGUGAGUAUUCUGCAUCAACGUGCAGCUUCCAGUCUCGAUUAAGAUUGGUCUGGAAGAUUUCCUAGCUCUGCAGAAAUGAAGCACACAAACUCUUUCAUGGAUUCUGUCUUUGGGCAGGAUCUCUGCUGUGGCUGCUUGAUUGGACCUCAGACGUGCACAAGAACCUUUUGGACCAUUCAGUCCCUGAUCCCCAUGGUCCUUUCUGUUUCAUCAGUCCAGACCUGUCACUUCUUGUCACUGCUGACUUUGAGGACAUCAUGUCGAUGAAUAACACAGUUCCUACUAGAUGUCGAGGGAUUUACCAUAUUUCUCUCUCCUUUCGUUCAGAAUUUAAAAAGGCAAAGCAGCAAUCUACAAAGAGAAGUUUUUUCUUUUUCUUGUCACAGUUUCUCUUAGAAAGUGAA